AGUGAACGCUGGCGGUAGGCCUAACACAUGCAAGUCGAACGGCAGCACAGUAAGAGCUUGCUCUUACGGGUGGCGAGUGGCGGACGGGUGAGGAAUACAUCGGAAUCUACUUUUUCGUGGGGGAUAACGUAGGGAAACUUACGCUAAUACCGCAUACGACCUACGGGUGAAAGCAGGGGAUCUUCGGACCUUGCGCGAUUGAAUGAGCCGAUGUCGGAUUAGCUAGUUGGCGGGGUAAAGGCCCACCAGGGCGACGAUCCGUAGCUGGUCUGAGAGGAGGAUCGGCGACACUGGAACUGGACCAGGGUCCAUACUCCUGCGGGAGGCAGCAGUGGGGAAUGUUGGACAAUGGGCGCAAGCCUGAUCCAGCCAUACGGCGUGGGUGAAGAAGGCGUUCGGGUUGUAAAGCCCUUUUGUUGGGAAAAAAAAGCAGCAGGUUAAUACCCCGCUGUUCUGACGGUACCCAAAAAAUAAGCACCGGCUAACUUCGUG
rnacentral:rRNA from 1 species